GUCCGCGUAGCUCAGUGGUUAGAGCAUUGCCCUCCUAAGGCAGGGGUCGCGGGUUCGACUCCCGCCGUGGAUG
rnacentral:tRNA from 1 species